UACGAAGGGGGCGAGCGUUGUUCGGAUUUACUGGGCGUAAAGGGCGCGCAGGCGGCUCAUUUUGUCAGGCGUGAAAGCCCCGGGCUUAACCUGGGAACUGCGUUUGAUACGGAUGGGCUAGAGUUCGGGAGAGGGGAGUGGAAUUCCCAGUGUAGAGGUGAAAUUCGUAGAUAUUGGGAAGAACACCGGUGGCGAAGGCGGCUCUCUGGACCGAGACUGACGCUGAGGCGCGAAAGCGUGGGGAGCAAACAGG
rnacentral:rRNA from 1 species